GACGAACGCUGGCGGCGUGCUUAACACAUGCAAGUCUGGGGGCGGGGCGACCCGUCACCGGCGAACGGGUGCGGAACACGUGAGCGACCUGCCCUGUGUGUGGGGGAUAGCCGGCCCAACGGCCGGGUAAUACCGCAUACGUCCCGCGCUUGGAGGCGCUGGGAGAAAGCCCGGAAGGGCGCACGAGGAGGGGCUCGCGGCCUAUCAGCUAGUUGGGGGGGUAACGGCCCACCAAGGCGACGACGGGUAGCUGGUCUGAGAGGAUGGCCAGCCACAUUGGGACGGAGAGACGGCCUAGACUCCGACGGGAGGCAGCAGUGGGGACUCUUGCGCAAUGGGUGACAGCGUGACGCAGCGACGCCGCGUGGAGGAUGAGGCCCGUCGGGGUGUAAACUCCUGUGGCUAGGGACGAACGGCGGGCAUCGGCCCGCUUGACGGUACCGGGUGAGGAAGCACCGGCUAACUAUGUG
rnacentral:rRNA from 1 species